rnacentral:rRNA from 1 species
CCACGCCGUAAACGAUGUCAACUAGCCGUUGGGAGUCUUGAACUCUUAGUGGCGCAGCUAACGCAUUAAGUUGACCGCCUGGGGAGUACGGCCGCAAGGUUAAAACUCAAAUGAAUUGACGGGGGCCCGCACAAGCGGUGGAGCAUGUGGUUUAAUUCGAUGCAACGCGAAGAACCUUACCUACUCUUGACAUCCAGAGAACUUUCCAGAGAUGGAUUGGUGCCUUCGGGAACUCUGAGACAGGUGCUGCAUGGCUGU